GGAUUGUUCUGAUCUCUUAAAUUAAAGAGCUGGGUCAUAUAGAAAAAUCACUGUCAAAUCAUAUCAGCCAAACUUUCUAGCAUUUUAGGUAUAUAUUUUUUCUUCCUAGAUAUUCACAUUUUUAUUUUGUUUCUCCUACUCUUUCAGACAUUGGAUGAAUUUCCAUUUUGCAGCAGAAACAGACAAUGGACUUGUCACAGCAAUCUUACAGUGCUGUUUGAAUUAGUAGUGGCAGAUAAGUACAACUUCUCAUCAGAUGUGCUCAUGAAGCUCUGAAAACUGCACUGAUUUGGCCUGGUAGAUGAGGUGGUAUCCAAGCAAGAUACAAAUUAUUCCAGAAAAAGAGGACAACCAAGGACAGUGGACAGCAAUAGACCAAUAAUGACAGAGCUGCUUCUUAUCCUGUUGUGGACAGGAAUGGUCUUGUACAAAAGCACUUUCUUUCCUUCUUUAAUAAUAAUUUAAAAAAAAGAAAAAAAAAAGAAAAAAAAAAAAAAGGCUAUUUGCCUGUUUUGAUUUUCCUUUGUUUAACUUCUCUGUGAUUCCCCUGUAGUUUGCUGAAUUUUAAUGAGAGUUAUAUGCAGUUGAAAUCCUCAUAUCCUGCUGUAAGCGCUACAGGAGUUUUUCAGUUUUUACAACAUUACGUAAACAUUCCUUGAAUGUUUAAAGACAAGUUAUAGUAGCGAAUCCUUUUGUCGAAAAGAUGUGAAGGUUUUGUGUAGGUGACCUGAGCAAUGUAAUUUAAUUUUUACAGAUGAAGCUUUAUUUUGCCUCAAAACUCUCCCCCAAAGAUUGGGAGAAUGUGAUCAAAUUCUGAAAGUAAUAAAAAGUUGAAACUUUAAGGUGUUGCUUUAGGU
rnacentral:lncRNA from 1 species